rnacentral:rRNA from 1 species
UGGCGGCGUGCUUAACACAUGCAAGUCGAACGAAGCACUUAUAAUUAAAUCUUCGGAAGCGAUUUUAAGUGACUUAGUGGCGGACGGGUGAGUAACGCGUGGGUAACCUGCCCUAUACAGGGGGAUAACAGUUAGAAAUGACUGCUAACACCGCAUAAGCGCACAUUAUCGCAUGAUAGAGUGUGAAAAUAUUUAUAGGUAUAGGAUGGGCCCGCGUCUGAUUAGCUAGUUGGUAAGGUAACGGCUUACCAAGGCGACGAUCAGUAGCCGGCUUGAGAGAGUGAACGGCCACAUUGGGACUGAGACACGGCCCAAACUCCUACGGGAGGCAGCAGUGGGGAAUAUUGCACAAUGGGGGAAACCCUGAUGCAGCGACGCCGCGUGAGUGAAGAAGUAUUUCGGUAUGUAAAGCUCUAUCAGCAGGGAAGAAAAUGACGGUAGCUGACUAAGAAGCACCGGCUAAAUACGUGCCAACAGCCGCGGUAAUACGUAGGGGGCAAGCGUUGUCCGGAAUGAUUGGGCGUAAAGGGCGCGUAGGCGGCCCGUUAAGUCUGGAGUGAAAGUCCUGCUUUUAAGGUGGGAAUUGCUUUGGAUACUGAAGGGCUUGAGUGCAGGAGAGGUAAAUGGAAUUCCUAGUGUAACGGUGAAAAUGCGUAAAAAUUAGGAGGAACACCAGUGGGGAAGGCGACUUACUGGACUGUAACUGACGCUGAGGCGCGAAAGUGUGGGGGAGCAAACAGGAUUAGAUACCCUGGUAGUCCACACUGUAAACGAUGAAUGCUAGGUGUAGGGGGUAUCGACCCCUUCUGUGCCGUAGUUAACACAAUAAGCAUUCCGCCUGGGGAGUACGGCCGCAAGGUUGAAACUCAAAGGAAUUGACGGGGGCCCGCACAAGCAGCGGAGCAUGUGGUUUAAUUCGACGCAACGCGAAGAACCUUACCAGGUCUUGACAUCCAGUUAAACUUGUAGAGAUACAUCGUGUCUUCGGACAAACUGAGACAGGUGGUGCAUGGUUGUCGUCAGCUCGUGUCGUGAGAUGUUGGGUUAAGUCCCGCAACGAGCGCAACCCCUAUUCUUAGUAGCCAUCAUUCAGUUGGGCACUCUAGGGAGACUGCCGUGGAUAACACGGAGGAAGGUGGGGAUGACGUCAAAUCAUCAUGCCCCUUAUGUCUUGGGCUACACACGUGCUACAAUGGCUGGUAACAAAGUGACGCAGAACGGCGACGUCGAGCAAAUCACAAAAACCCAGUCCCAGUUCGGAUUGUAGUCUGCAACUCGACUACAUGAAGCUGGAAUCGCUAGUAAUCGAAAAUCAGAAUGUCGCGGUGAAUACGUUCCCGGGCCUUG